rnacentral:lncRNA from 10 species
UGCUGUGCUAGCAAUCAGUGAGACUCCGUGGGCGUAGAACCCUCCGAGCCAGGUGUGGGAUAUAAUCUCGUGGCGCGCCGUUUUUUAAGCCCGUCGGAAAAGCGCAGUAUUCGGGUGGGAGUGACCCGAUUUUCCAGGUGCCGUCCGUCACCCCUUUCUUUGACUAGGAAAGGGAACUCCCUGACCCCUUGCGCUUCCCGAGUGAGGCAAUGCCUCACCCUGCUUCGGCUCGCGCACGGUGCGCGCACCCACUGACCUGCGCCCACUGUCUGGCACUCCCUAGUGAGAUGAACCCGGUACCUCAGAUGGAAAUGCAGAAAUCACCCGUCUUCUGCGUCGCUCACGCUGGGAGCUGUAGACCGGAGCUGUUCCUAUUCAGCCAUCUUGGCUCCUCCCCUGACUGAUGUCCUCCUUAUAGGAAUGGGAAAUUCAGAUGCAGACAGGUGCUGAAGACCAUGUGAAGGCACAGGGAGGAGGUGGCCAUCUGCAAGCCAAGGAGAGAAGCCUCAGAAGAAACCAACCCUGCCAACACCGUGACCUCAGACUCCAGCCCCCAGAACUAGCCAUAGUUUGUCUUCCACAACUGGAGGUUUGAAAAGAAGGAUGAGGACACUGAAUCUCAGAGACGUCAAGUUCUUUCAUCGAGAUUCCAUAGAAUGUUCCCUGUUUCUUCAUCUAUGACAUGGGGAUAAUGUGAGUAUACCUACAUCAGAGGGCUGCGAUGAAGACUAAAUAAGCUCCUGCCAUCAAAAGUUGGAGUCUGUUUCCCCACGCCUUGAAUCUGGGCUGGCUCUAUGAUCCACUUUGGACAACAGAAUUUGGUGGAAGUGAUGCUAUGCCAAUGCUGAGGUGAGGCCUCAAGAGGCCUUGUGGGCUGUGACUCUUUUGGAACGCUGCCUAGCUGUCACGUGAACAAGGCUACUGCAUGAUGAGAGACCAUAUGGAGCCAAAACAUGCCUUUCCAGCUGAGGCCCUCCUAGUCCAGCCAGCCCUAGAUGCACAAGCUGGUGACCAAAGAUACAUGAGUGAGUCCAGAUGAGAAGUCCCUCGUUGAGCCCAGCCCAAUUGCUGAUCCACUGACUUGUGAGGACGAGCACUCAUAUAAGUCGACAAUGCAUCUGCAUUCUAGAAAAUAAUUCAGUGUUCCAGACAAGAAUAUUGUUGAUUUUUGAAGAAAUUUCCCAUACCUACACUAAAGGAACACCAAAUUUAUUACUGUAUCAGUGAGACAGCUGUUGUGACAGUAAAGUGAGACCCUUGUAGCAAAAGCACUUUUCGGACUCCAUGAUGUUAGGAAACUGCAAAACACCUUCUUCUGAGUCCAGAGACUGGAAAAUGAACUCUUGUGUGCCCCAGAGGUUACUGACAGACCAAAAUAUCCUGACAACCCCGGAAUGCCAGAAGGAGAGAAGGGGUUUGUAAAUCUGAGGACCUUGACUACUUUUGCUUUGACUUGGGUGACUAUGGAGAACGUGACAUGGGAAGUUAAAAAGCAACAAGAAGUCUUUUAAAAAGUUUGAAUUACAUUGAACAUAUGUCUGAAAUGUAAGAAGGGGUAAGCCCUCUUUCUUACCAUCCUUCCUGACCAUGACCCCUGGGAGUCAGAUAUCCCAGGCACAGCUUAGCUUUCUAACCCUGCUGUGUUGCCCUCCAUGAUCUCUCCGAAUUUCUCUCCCUUUCCUCCCUUUACACUAAAAAUGCUCUAGUUCUGGCCUUCCUCAUCUCGUUAAUAAUUAAGCUGGCUGACUUAACUCCCUGCCUUCUGGUUGCCCUCUUCAAUCUGUCCUUGUCUCUGUCAGCAGCAGCAUCGUCCUGCUCAAAACCACAAAGACCUCCUACUGUGGAAAGACAGGUAUUCAGAAUCCACAUCGCACGUCUAGAUCCCCUGUGAUGUGCCCUGAAACAACCUCCACUGUCUUAGCUUUUACUAACAUCUUCCAUAAUUUCCAGGCCCAGCAGGCCUGAUCUUGUGCUCAACUUCCCCAACUUAGUCUCCUCCUUCUGUCAGAAAUAGCCUUUCUCUAUCUCCACCUGAGAUUAAUGUAUCCUGGAGAGUCUAUCUCUCUUUUCAGUGUCCAUAUCAAGGGCCGGCUCCUCCAGAAAGCCUUUCUAUACCUUCAACCUCCAACCUCAUAUCUCAUCAUUAGAAAAGAUCACGUUCUCAUUAGAAGCCCAAACCUCAGUAUCACAUAAUAUGCCCAUCUAACAAACCUGCACAUGUACACCCUGAACCUAAAAAAAAAUAAAAUAAAACAAAAAAAGAAAAGAAAAUAUACACUGAUGAGAAAAAAAAGGAUCAAAUCCAACUUUAAGUUCCUGAGUCUAACUUUCUAACUUUAUUUUAGUGCCUCCCAGAAUUAUCUGUGUUUGUGUCCACAUUAACCAUUGGCUGGGAUCAUCAUAAGUGAAUCACCAUGUUCCCCAAACCAAAAACUGCCCUGGCACACAGGAAGCUUACGUUAGUGUCUUAGUAUGGCAUAUAUGUAUACACACACUGUACACAUGAACACAUAUCUAUGUGAUGUUUCCAAACAUAGAUAUGUGUUCAUAUCCAAAGACAGUUGUCUUUGAAAGUAAACACAAUAAACUCGGAUAAACUUCUGGAACAUGGGGAUAGGAGGGUGGGAUGAAAGAAAGCAUUUAGUAAAUUUACAUUUCUUUAUGUAUUUCUUGACUCUUAAAAUCAAUAUAUCAUAAUUUAAUAACAUAAUUUAUUAAAAUGAAAAAUAAAAUAAUUCAUGUUAAUUGUAGAAUACAUACAUCUGUAAAGAAGAAUGACAAACAGGAAUAAUUUCCAGAGACUCACAAUCUACAUACAUUCUAUUUAUGUGAUUAGAUCCAUGUUAUUCUUAUGUUUCCUUUUUGCCAGUUAGCAUUGUAUGGAGAGUACUUCUCCAUUUUCUAUCAUUGGGUGUAUGAAUUGUUAACCACUUUGGAAUACUGCAAAUAAUCAUAUAAUGAAUAUACAUAUACUUAAAUCUUUGUGUGCAUUUGUUAUUAUUUACUAGGUUAGAUUCUUAGAAAUAGAACCACUGACUUGAAGGGAAUAUUAUCAUUUAAGGUUUUAAUCCAUGUUGCCAAAAUGUUUGUAAGAAAGUAUCCAUCUCACAAUACCCACAUCAGAACCAGGUAUUACAAUUUUUAAAACCUCCCAAACAUUUUCUUUUUCUUUCUUUUUUUUCUUUUCUUUUUUUUUUGAGACAGAGUCUCACUCCGUUUCUCAGGCUGGAGUACAGUGGCAGUGACUGCAACCUACGCACCCCCCAGGUUCAAGCGAUUCUCCUGCCUCAACCUCACGAGUAGCUGGGAUUACAGGCACCUGCCACCAUGACCCGCUAAUUUUUUUGUGUUUUAACUAGAGACAGAGUUUCACCAUGUUGGCCGGGGUGGUCUUCAACUCCUGAUGUCAAGUGAUGCGCCCACUUCUGCCUCCCAAAAUGCUGGGAUUACAGGCUUGAGCCACAGCGCCCAGCCCUAACAUUUUUUUUUUUAUGGAUUCUCCCUUUGCUUUUAUAAUGAGGGCACCUCUACCCUGAGAUGAAUCAGAUGCAUUAUUGUUUUUUGUCAAUUCUUUUACUACUUCUUCUUUAAUAUUUGAAUUUUUGAUCAAUUUAAAUCAAAUUAGGUAAAUUUUAUGAGGUAAGGGAGGAGACAUUUGCCUUGUUAUAAUUCCUGUAUAUUUAACCAAUCAUCCAUGUCAUAUUUAUUUAAUAAUCCUUCCCCACACUUUAAAUAAUUUGUAGUCUUAUUUUUGUUCUGUGUUUGAAUUACCAUAGCUGUAUAGUAUGAUUUGACAUCUGAUAGGGUAGAUUUCACCUUUUUAAUUAUUUAUUUUAUAUUCUGGGGUCAUUCUCAGCAUUUAUUUUGUCUAAAUGAAACGUAAACAGGCUGUCAAGUUUUCAACACAGAUCCAAGUGGAAUUAAACAUUUUUUUUCUUACGAAUAUUUGGGGACUUCAUUCCUUUCUUCCUUUUUUUUCUCUUCCUCCUCCCCUCCCUCCUUCUCCUCCUUCUUAUUCUAUUCUUCUCUCUCUUUUUCAUUCUCUUCUCCUUCCUUCCCUUCCUUUCCUUCUCAACUUCAUCUUCUUCGUUUCUCCAUCAUUAUCAUUUUCUGUUUAUUGAUUACACUUAAAUAAUAACUAUUUCAUAGAGAAAAUUAAAACUAGACAUAGUGAUCAAAUGUUGACAUGUUGUUUUUUGUGUCAAAUAUUCAAAUAUUUUUAAAUUGACAUCUAAAAGUUUAUAGAAACAGGCACAUUCCUCCACCAGAAUUUCCCUCUACUCUCAAAAGUAACCACCAUUAUAAAAUGCUGCACUGUCAGCAAACCACCAUGGCACAUGUAUACCUAUGUAACAAACCUGCACGUUCUGCACAUGUAUCCCAAAACUUAAAGUAUAACAAUAAUAAUAAUGCUGCACUGUCUUUUUUGUGUUGUUUUGUGCAUUUUUAACCUCUAAUUUCACAGCAUACUUAUUUGUCCAUAACUAUAUAUAUAGUGUUUUGCAUAUUUAAAACUUUUGUACAAAAUGUGUCAGAGUGAACAUGUUCUUUUGCAAUUUCAUUUAUUUUGGUCAACAAUAUGUGACUUUUCUUCAUGAACAUCCUGCAUAUUCCUUGUUUCAUUUAUCCUUGGUUAUUUAGAACAUUUCUUCUAUUUUAAUGCUAACUUCAAUUGACUCAAAUUUUGUUGACGGCUUGUGAGAUCAACCAAAAGCUAAAUGAAAUCAGUCUUCUGUGUGUGUGUUUGUUUUUAAUGCUUUCUAGAUUAGUCUGACAUGCACACCCAAUCGGAAAACACUAGCGCAGAAGAGGGAGAGCCUAAUAUCAGCAUUACCUAGGUAUUAGAAGAAUUUGGAUAUUAUUAUAUACACCUGGCAUGAUAGCUAGGACAGAACCUGUUCUGCCGGGAGAAGGCGCCUGCUCAGGGUUUCUCUUUCCCUACAUGGGAACCCCUGAAGGAGAGUCCUGCCUGUGAUCUUCAUUUAGAAGGCUAGUGCUGACCACUGCUUGGUUCUCAUCAAUCCAUCCUUGAGAUAUCCCCAAUCUCAUCUUAAAUCUGAAUUGAACCUGUCAUAUUAUAGCCUGGCUCUUCUCUCACCAACUAUUUGGGGAACCCAGCCAACAUACUGUGAUGAAGCCUAAACAACUGUGGAGAGGCUCACGUGGAGAGGAGUCAAUGCCCACUGAUCUAUAAGCCUUGGCUGAGCUCUGAGCCAACAGUCAUGAUCAACUUCCAGCCGUAUAAGUGAACCAUCUUGAAAGAGGCUUCACCAGCACCAAGUUGAGCAACUUGAUUAUGUUACCAAAGAUCACCUCCUUCCUAUCAUCUUCCGUCUGAGACUUGCUUAGAGUGAGUUUGGAAGCUGUGUUUUGCUCAUCCUGAAGACUGAACAUAAGAAAAUAUUGCUCAAGUUCUGGAUGAUGCAGCUGCUGAAAUAAUCUGUGGUGCACUUUCCUUCAGGAAUCCUUACCUAUUUUUUCAGGUGUUCCACAAGCCUUCUUAUCUUGGAAUUCAGUAAUACUUAUUGUGUGGUUGCUUACUGUUCCCUAGGCACCCUGAAGCAUUGAAGCUUUGAAGCUUUGUCUCAUGCUUUCAAGUAAUGUUCUCGUGUUUACCUGCUGAUAUUCCUUCAAAGUUAGAGGCUGCCUCUCUCCAAGUGUGGAAAAAAACAAUCAGAUGUCACUAAGAUAUUGUGUAACAAUUCAUAUUAAACACAUGAUCUUGUCAGUCAAGAAGAAGAGAUUAAAACAAACACCUUGAGAGUUCAUGAGUAGAAGUAUACAGCCCUGCAUUCAUGAUAAUAUGGUGCAUUUUACCUACCUUGCAGCAGAAAGAGAUAUCUAAUUCCAUACACAGCAAUGUAACUGUUUAAAGUGCUCCUAAAAUUCAGACAAAACAAAUUAUAAAUAGUAUCAAGAUCAAAGAAGCUGAAAGUCCCUAUGUUUGAUGUAGGCACAGCAAAGUUUGAUGUAUAUGCUCAUUUCUCAGCACUGCAAGUAUGGAGAAACCAUCAGAAAGCAUGCUGAAAAUAGAGAGGGCUUCUAAAACAGAAAGCUCCUGCCUGUUUUACUGAAGGCUACCAGAUUCUUUCUCAGAAAUUUUGUACAGUUCAGAGGCACAAAUGCUCUUUUAGGUCCUUUGAAGCACUGGGUUUAAUAUCGGAAUUUAAUCUUGGCUCUAGUCUCCAAUUCCUUACAUAGUCAUUCAAGCAAUCUUGGGGACCAAGUCUUCCAAUAGCAUAGUGAUAUUCAUGCCUGAAGUGGGAGGAAUAGAUAUCCUCCUCAUUAACAAGGGAUGAGAGAUCAUGUUUCAUAGGCAAAAUACUCAUGCAUGCAAAAAUGUAACUUUUCCAGUAAUUUUUUUAGUACUGAAAUUAGCUUAGCUCAUUAGCUCUCUCUUCUACCUAGUAGCAGGGAAUGCAGUUUUGCUAACCCAGGUGACUCAUUAUUUCUGUUUUCAAGUUUAGUUUAUUUUAGGUAAAUUUUUGAAUUCAUAAUGUUUUUCUGACCUUUCUUCUCUUCCAGAAGAGGUUAUUCUAACUUCUUAAUGGAUUUACUUUUGUAGUUGUUACUGUUAUAUAUAUAUAAUAG